rnacentral:rRNA from 1 species
CCUACGGGAGGCAGCAGUAAGGAAUAUUGGUCAAUGGGCGCAAGCCUGAACCAGCCAUGCCGCGUGCAGGAAGACGGCCCUAUGGGUUGUAAACUGCUUUUGAACAAGAGAAAACCUCGGUACGUGUACCGAGCUGAUAGUAUUGUUAGAAUAAGCAUCGGCUAACUUCGUGCCAGCAGCCGCGGUAAGACGAAGGAUGCAAGCGUUAUCCGGAUUCAUUGGGUUUAAAGGGUGCGUAGGCGGCCUGAUAAGUCAGUGGUGAAAUCUCUCAGCUUAACUGAGAAACUGCCAUUGAUACUGUCGGGCUUGAGUACAGAUGAUGUGGGCGGAAUAUGACAUGUAGUGGUGAAAUACUUAGAUAUGUCAUAGAACACCGAUUGCGAAGGCAGCUCACAAAACUGUAACUGACGCUGAGGCACGAAAGUGGNGGAGUACAACAGAUAGUAUACCUACGUAGUCGCACGUAACGAUANAUACUCGUUGUUGUNAUAU